UACGGAGGGUGCAAGCGUUAAUCGGAAUUACUGGGCGUAAAGCGCACGCAGGCGGUUUGUUAAGUCAGAUGUGAAAUCCCCGAGCUUAACUUGGGAACUGCAUUUGAAACUGGCAAGCUAGAGUCUUGUAGAGGGGGGUAGAAUUCCAGGUGUAGCGGUGAAAUGCGUAGAGAUCUGGAGGAAUACCGGUGGCGAAGGCGGCCCCCUGGACAAAGACUGACGCUCAGGUUCGAAAGCGUGGGGAGCAAACAGG
rnacentral:rRNA from 1 species